GGCUUGGUGGUGCAGAUGGUAGCUGCUGGCUCACAGCCCCAGGGUCCCUGGUUCGAAUUUGGGUUCAGGUUA